AAGCUUGCUUCUUGAUUCAGAUUUUGGUGAGUGGCGGACGGGUGAGUAACACGUGGGUAACCUGCCCAAAAGUGGGGGAUAACAUUUGGAAACAAGUGCUAAUACCGCAUAACAACUGCUUUCACAUGAUCGCAGCUUGAAAGAUGGCUCUGCUAUCGCUUUUGGAUGGACCCGCGGCGUAUUAGCUAGUUGGUGAGGUAAUAGCUCACCAAGGCAAUGAUACGUAGCCGACCUGAGAGGGUAAUCGGCCACAUUGGGACUGAGACACGGCCCAAACUCCUACGGGAGGCAGCAGUAGGGAAUCUUCCACAAUGGGCGAAAGCCUGAUGGAGCAAUGCCGCGUGAGUGAAGAAGGUUUUCGGAUCGUAAAACUCUGUUGUUGAAGAAGAACAUGCGUGAGAGUAACUGUUCACGUACUGACGGUAUUCAACCAGAAAGCCACGGCUAACUACGUGCCAGCAGCCGCGGUAAUACGUAGGUGGCAAGCGUUGUCCGGAUUUAUUGGGCGUAAAGAGAA
rnacentral:rRNA from 1 species